AUUGAACGCUGGCGGCAGGCCUAACACAUGCAAGUCGAGCGAGCGGCGGACGGGUGAGUAAUGUCUGGGAAACUGCCCGAUGGAGGGGGAUAACUACUGGAAACGGUAGCUAAUACCGCAUACUAUCAGAUGAGCCCAGAUGGGAUUAGCUAGUAGGUGGGGUAACGACUCACCUAGGCGACGAUCCCUAGCUGGUCUGAGAGGAUGACCAGCCACACUGGAACUGAGACACGGUCCAGACUCCUACGGGAGGCAGCAGUGGGGAAUAUUGCACAAUGGGCGCAAGCCUGAUGCAGCCAUGCCGCGUGUGUGAAGAAGGCCUUCGGGUUGUAAAGCACUUUCAGUGGGGAGGCGUUACCCACAGAAGAAGCACCGGCUAACUCCGUGCCAGCAGCCGCGGUAAUUC
rnacentral:rRNA from 1 species